rnacentral:tRNA from 5 species
UAGCUCGCAAGGCUCAUAACCUUGAGGUCACGGGUUCAAAUCCUGUCUCCGCAA